CAAGUGAUGCGCCUGUUGAGUGCUGAGAACCAAGACGCACGGAACUACGAGUACCAACUGUGGAGUUUGGGGGUAUUGACACCCCGUCUCCAGCGACAGAGUGAGUUACAGGGAGAGGAGAGCAGCGACCUCCCUUCCCAGCGGCAGUGCACCGUACAGAGGGAAGAGACAACCGGUCUCUCUCCCCAGCAGCGGCCUGAGUUCCAGGAGGAGGUGAUGGUAGAUCCCUCCCCCGUACAGCAACCAGCGUCCUGGGGAGGGGAGGCAACCGGCCUCCCUCUCCAACAGCAGCCGGAGGUGGGCGACCUCAUAGACUUGUCCUGGGGACACAGAGAGAUGGCAAGCGGAGAUGGGACCGAAGUCUCUCUGCCAGCCCUACAGGGAUGCUGGGCAGUCAGCCCAGGUCCCCAGCGGCAGUAUAAUAUACAGUGAGAGGAGAC
rnacentral:lncRNA from 1 species